ACCAUCACCUCUGGGAAAAAAAAUUGACCAAAGUUACCAAGACAGUGAAUCAAGAGAAGGAGAAGAAAUGAAGAGGAAAAUUAUAGAUCUACAGCAUAACAACAUCUAAGGAAGUAAACCAGCGCCAUUAACAACUGAACGCACUUGCUCUGGUAUGACACUGAAGCCUCCUAACUGAGUGACUUUGUAGCUCCUUGCCCAUCAGCUCCAGCGGAGAGAAGAAAGCCAAAACCUCUGGCAGAAGAGGCUGAUAGUAUCAGCACAGCAGCAGCACAUAGAAGCUUCUGGGCACUCAUGCAGUAUUUUUCACUCAUAUUUGUUUCCUGACACAAACAUCUCUUUUAACGUUACUUCCAGAUCUCUAGGAAGAGGACAAAACUCUUCUUGGCAGGUCCUAUGAAAAAUCCAUGGACAGUCAAUCAGGUGCUCUGAAAAUGAGCUCCGAAAAUGAGCUCCUUGGAAAGGCCCCAGCACCACAGGGAGUACCUGGUACCGCGACUGCCUGGCUACCUGAAUUCUGAGUAGCGCACCUUCACCCUGAGCCACACAUUGGGGGCCCACCGGUUCCUUUCUGUGUGGAAAAAAAAAUCACAUCGUAAGCUGAAGGAAUGGCAAAGAGACAUGCACCACCAUACAGGAUGCUUAACAGUGGGAGAGCCAUAUAAUCAUUACUAAUUAUAUUGUGAGGCUGCAAAAAAUGAGGUUGGAGAUGGAAUUUGAAGAUCAAAACAACACGGUCUCCCUGAUCUCACCUGGAGGAAUAGUCUACAAUGAUGGCAUUCAGAAUGAGCAGUGUCAUUAUUUCAGUCCCUGAGUUGUUGGUCAGAAGUGAGAGAGCUGACAUGCAUACUCAGGUGUUUCCCCACCACCACCUAUUUGGAUGGAAGCUGGGCUUUCUAGUAUACAAAAUAACAGGAUGAGGGAAUGCGUAGCUGAUGCCUACACCUUCCUGAGCUCUAAGCAACAUCUGCAUUUCUCUGGAGUCAUACAUGGAACUAAAGAAAAUACAGAUUUUUGAGUUUAUCAGAUUGUGUGUCAAUUUAAUUUUUAAUUAAUUUUAAUUUAUUUUUGAUAAAUUUCAUUUAAUUUUUAGUUAAUAUUCAUUAAUAGAGUCAGUUGUGUUAGUCCUGUUCCCUCAAAGAUGUUCAUAAGUUUGUUUGAGUACUACCUUUUUCUUUUCAGUUUUCCUUGUGACAGGUACAAUCUGACUGCUGGAACAUCUCAUUUCCUUCCUUUUUGAUUUCUCUCCCCUUUUUCUCAUUCCUUUUACUCUUCAAUUUUUCGCUUUUCCUUUCUUUUGUUUGGUAUUUACUUGCAUCUCCAAUUAAUUCAUCCCUGUUGAUCUAGCUCUGUCCUCAGGUACAAAUACUAAAUCAUAUUACUUUCAAAUAUGGGAGUUUCUCUGUGGUAAAUGUAACCUUUAUCUAUUAUCACUUGUCUGUGCAGUGCAUCAUUAAAAAGAGAGACUUGAAAAUGAGUUGGCACAUUGUUUUUAGAGAGGUAGACAAAAACAGAGCAAAGUCAUAAAUGACUCAGUCCUGAAGAACUUCAUUUUCUUCUUUUGGUGAUUCGUUGUAUCAAACAUAUGUUUUGUCUUUGUAUUUUCAUUGCCCUUUUUUUCAUCUUACAUUAGUAGCAUCCACGUUGCUCUCCUUGAUCACUCCUUGACCAAAAGCAACAAUUAGCAUUUUUCUCAGCCUCUUCUCCAUUGGUCAAGGGUGAGGUAUGGGCAAAAGACAGCUGCUAGCGCUACUGAGGUGUUGAAAUUGUGCCUUUCUUUCAGAGGAUGGAGGGCAAAAACAUAGAAAAAGAGUUUUUUCAUCAGGAACAAAAAGUCCUGAUAUUCAAAAUGUUAGGCACCUGAAAUAGCCUCCUGAUUUACAGAGAUUUGAAGUAUGAUCAAGUUCCUUUGAAUUCACCUACAUUUAAGUAAUGAAUUUAAAUCAAUUAUAUGAUAAAUCAAGGACGAUUUCAAACACAAAAUAAGUAUUUUCAGUUCUGAAAAUAGGGGAACCUUUUCUACAUUUUUCACUUUAAUUAGAUUAAGUUUUCAUCAAUUUAUCAAUUUUUCAUCAGUCUGUUUUCACUGCCAUACUACAAAUAAAAUUAGUUUCUACUA